GAUGAACGCUGGCGGCGUGCCUAAUACAUGCAAGUCGAGCGAACAGACGAGGAGCUUGCUCCUUUGACGUUAGCGGCGGACGGGUGAGUAACACGUAGGUAACCUACCUAUAAGACUGGGAUAACUUCGGGAAACCGGAGCUAAUACCGGAUAAUAUUUCGAACCGCAUGGUUCGAUAGUGAAAGAUGGCUUUGCUAUCACUUAUAGAUGGACCUGCGCCGUAUUAGCUAGUUGGUAAGGUAACGGCUUACCAAGGCAACGAUACGUAGCCGACCUGAGAGGGUGAUCGGCCACACUGGAACUGAGACACGGUCCAGACUCCUACGGGAGGCAGCAGUAGGGAAUCUUCCGCAAUGGGCGAAAGCCUGACGGAGCAACGCCGCGUGAGUGAUGAAGGUCUUCGGAUCGUAAAACUCUGUUAUUAGGGAAGAACAAACGUGUAAGUAACUGUGCACGUCUUGACGGUACCUAAUCAGAAAGCCACGGCUAACUACG
rnacentral:rRNA from 1 species